CAGCAGCCGCGGUAAUACGUAGGGUGCAAGCGUUAAUCGGAAUUACUGGGCGUAAAGCGUGCGCAGGCGGUUAUAUAAGACAGAUGUGUAAUCCCCGGGCCCAACCUGGGACCUGCAUUUGUGACUGUAUAGCUAGAGUACGGUAGAGGGGGAUGGAAUUCCGCGUGUAGCGGUGAAAUGCGUAGAUAUGCGGAGGAACACCGAUGGCGAAGGCAAUCCCCUGGACCUGUACUGACGCUCAUGCACGAAAGCGUGGGGAGCAAACAGGAUUAGAUACCCGCGUAGUCCCUGUCUCUUAUAC
rnacentral:rRNA from 1 species